GUCUGGGAAGCCUAGAUUGAGGACGGAAUCGAACAGUUCCUUUACCAGUGUCGAGAACGAAGCGGUGGCUGGGACAGAGUAGGGAGGGAGAUAAUCUCCGGGGUUUUUGCAGGGUAAUGCAGUGGGUUGAAUGGGAAGAGGCCAUAAAAUGAGCAACAAAAAUGAAAAUAAGUGUAAAAUAAGAGGUCUGAUCCCUGAAAAUAGAGGAAGAUUCAACAAUGGAGGCAAAUGAGAAAAAUAUAUUUGCGACUGCGAAGCGGC
rnacentral:misc_RNA from 1 species